UUGGAAUUUCAGAUGGUCAUGGUUCAACAGUAAAUAAGUUGCCUUUAGCAAAUGAAGCGACCUUGUGUAAAUGCUACAGGAGAGAUGGUUAAUUACUAUGAAGGCAGACUUGUACCUCAAGAUUACAAUGGUGGCUCUAAGGUCAUACAUUCGCACAAGAACUGCAGUGAAUGAAGUCGAAAAAUAAAAUGCUCCUGUUGCGAACUCAAAGGUGCAUCGUUUGGCUGUUUCGAAAAGAGUUGUCGUAAGAGUUUCCAUGUUCCCUGUGCAAAAUUAGUCUCACAAUGUCGGUGGGAUACUGAUAACUUUGUAAUGUUGUGCCCUCUCCAUGCU